ACGGAAGGCAGCAGUGGGGAAUAUUGGACUAUGGGGGAAACCCUGAUCCAGCGACGCCGCGUGAGUGAAGAAGUAUUUCGGUAUGUAAAGCUCUAUCAGCAAGGAAGAAAAUGACGGUACUUGACUAAGAAGCUCCGGCUAAAUACGUGCCAGCAGCCGCGGUAAUACGUAUGGAGCAAGCGUUAUCCGGAUUUACUGGGUGUAAAGGGAGCGUAGACGGCAAAGCAAGUCUGAAGUGAAAUCCCGGGGCUCAACCCCGGAACUGCUUUGGAAACUGUUUAGCUAGAGUGCAGGAGAGGUAAGCGGAAUUCCUAGUGUAGCGGUGAAAUGCGUAGAUAUUAGGAGGAACACCAGUGGCGAAGGCGGCUUACUGGACUGUAACCGACGUUGAGGCUCGAAAGCGUGGGGAGCAAACAGGAUUAGAUACCCUGGUA
rnacentral:rRNA from 1 species